rnacentral:lncRNA from 1 species
UUUAUGGCCGAGUAUUUUAUUUUUAGUUUAUAACAUUUACCUUCCGUUCGGCAUGAUUCAAUUUGGAUAAAGAAAUUGACCUUUACAUUAAAUAUGGUUGUAGGUACCAAAGGUGAAAUAUGAAGUGAUGUGUUGCUUGUACGUGCGCGGGGCUAAACAAAUCUGGGUUUUAUAAAUUUGUAAUUUAAAUGAAAUAUUCUUUUUAUUGUACAAAGAUUAUUUAUAAGCUUAAGUAA